rnacentral:lncRNA from 1 species
UGGGAUUGGUCAUUUUUUGUGGGAUUUGGGGCAGAUUUGGGGGAACUUGUGUUGAAUUUAGUGGGAUUUGGGGUCCAUUUAGUGGGAUUUCGGGCCAACUUAGUGGGAAUUUGGAUUGAUUUCCUCAGAUUUUGGGCUGAUUUCAGCCAGUUUUGGGGUCAUUUGUUGGGAUUGUGACAUUUUUGUGGUAUUUGGGGCAGAUUUGGGGAUAUUUGAGGUAAAUUUGGGUGAAUUUGUGUCAAAUUUAAUGGGAUUUGGGGCCACUUGUGGGAUUUGGGGCCAACUUAGUGGGAUUUUCGGUUGAUUUCUUGGGAUUUCAGGUGGAUUUCACCCAGUUUUAGGGUCAUUUGUUGGGAUCGUGUCAUUUUUGGUGGGAUUUGGGGCAAAUUUGGGGGGAUUUGAGGUAAAUUAAGGGGAAUUUGUGUCAAAUUUAGUGGGAUUUGGGUGGAUUUAGCAGCGUUUGGGGCCAAUUGUGGGAUUUGGGGCCAAUUGUGGGAUUUGGGGCCAAUUUGGUGGGAUUUGGGGUUGAUUUCUUAGGAUUUUAGGCUGAUUUCAGCCAGUUUUGGGGUCAUUUAUUGGGACUGUGUCAUUUUUUGUGGGAUUUGGGUUGAAUUUGGCCCCUUUUGGCUGAUAGAAAUGUGGGUUUUUUUGUAGGGCCGUGGCCCCAAAGCCCCCGAGGGCGCUUCCCGCAGCCGCCGUGGGUCGCGACCCCCCCUUAAAGGGGGGGAGGAGGAGGAGGAAGAGGAGGAGGAGGAGGAGGAGGAGGAAGAGGACGACGAUGAAGAGGAGGAGGAGGAGGGUGGCAAGCCUGGCCCCGCCCCCUCUCAAGCCACGCCCCCCGCCCCUCAAGCCACGCCCCCUUCCCCACAAGCCACGCCUCCACUUGACGCACCACCCCCAUUGGACAAAUCCCCGCCUGUCACAGCCGAAGCCCCGCCCACAGACGAGCAAGCCCCUCCCACAGAGGCUGAAAAACCACCCGCUGCUCCCGAGGCCACGCCCACCGCAGCGGAGGCCCCGCCCACUGACACAGAAGCCCCGCCCACCCAGCCCCCUAUUCCACCUCCUGAUGUCGAGUCUUCGCCCAAACAGAAUGAGGCCACGCCCACCGAAACAGAAGCCCCGCCCCCUAACGUGGAAGCCACGCCUCCGGCAGAAGCUCCGCCCACCUGCAGCAUAACCACGCCCCCUCGACAGGAAACCCCGCCCCCUUCAUCCCCCUCCCCUUUGCCCGUAGUGCAGGGGGCGGAGCCUGAGGCCACACCCACAGCUGAAGAGCCAAUCCAGUCCCAGCUGAGUGAACAGCCCGCCCCUAUGGGCGGAGCUAACACGGAAGCUCCUCCCACAGACGAGGCCCCGCCCCCCUCCUCACCCCGGGGCCGCAGCCAAUCAUCUUCCUCCUCCUCACCUGGUCCCGCCUCUUCCCGCGGAAGCUCCGCCUCCCCGCCGCCGCGGGGGCGUGGCCAAAACGCUGAGGAUGAGCAGCCGGAGCCGACCCCAGCAGCGACCCCCAAGUGAGUGAGGGUCUCCGUGGGGCACCGUGGGGUGGUUAUGGGGCAGUUAUUGGGGUCUUAGGGGCAGUUCUGGGGCGCUGUGGGGCAGCUGUGGGAAACUGGGGCAGCUCUUAGGAUCUAUGGAGUGGUUAUGGGGCUUGGUGGGCCGUUAUGGGGCGCCGUGGGGCAGUUAUUAGGAUCUGUGGGGCGCUAUGGGGCAGUUAUGGGGCUCUGUGGGGCACUGUAUCGGGUUGUGGGACAACUAUAGGAUCCUUAUGAUCUUCCCUGUGGUCUCUGUGGGGUUUCUCUAUGUUCCUUGGGUUCUCUCUAUGGUCCUUGGGUCCUCCUGACGAGUUCAGUCCUCUCUGUGGGGUUUCUCUGUGGGGUUUCUCUAUGGUGUCUGGGUCCUCCCCUCCUUAUGGGGUCUUCUAUGGGUCUCUAUGGGGUCUCCUCUAUGAUCCCUGUAUGGAUCCUCUCUAUGGUCUCUCUCUGAGUCUCUGUGGUUUUAUGGGUCCUCCAUAUGAAGUCCUCCCUGUGGGGUCUUCUCUAUGGUUCCUGUGGGGUCUUUCUAUGGACUCUAUGGUUCUCCCUGUGGGUCUUCUCUAUGGGGGUCUUUCUGUGGGUCCUUUCUGUGCUCCUCUCUAUGGUCUUUAUUGGUCCUCCCUGUGGGUCUUCUCUAUGGAGCUUCUAAGGGGCCACUCUGUCUUCCCUGUGGGUCCUCUCUAUGGUUC